rnacentral:rRNA from 1 species
CCUACGGGGGGCAGCAGUAAGGAAUAUUGCUCAAUGGGAGAAAUCCUGAAGCAGCAACGCCGCGUGAGGGAUGAAGGGCUUUUGCUUGUAAACCUCUGUAGUGAGAAAACUGGUAUCUCAAAAGUAAGCCCCGGCUAACUACGUGCCAGCAGCCGCGGUAAUACGUAGGGGGCAAACGUUGUCCGGAUUUACUGGGUGUAAAGGGUGCUCAGGCGGUCUUGUAAGUUAGAAGUGAAAUCCUAGGGCUCAACUCUGGAACUGCUUUUAAUACUGCAAGGCUUGAAUAUGGAAGAGGAGGGUGGAAUUUCUGGUGUAGCAGUGAAAUGCGUAGAUAUCAGAAAGAACACCAGUGGCGAAGGCGGCCCUCUGGUCCAUAUUGACGCUAAAGCACGAAAGCGUGGGGAGCAAACAGGAUUAGAUACCCUUGUAGUC